GGUGGCGGUGGCGAUGGGGGCGGGGGCAUUCCAUUUAGCCUCUUUCCUCCUCAAUCGGAAGGGUUCUUCAACCCAAUGGACGGCAACCUCUCAUUGCAAAUCGGAUACAAUCCGACAUGUCUGGACGAGAUGAAUGCUUCGGUUUCGAGCCAAAAUGUUGCCGGAUUCAUUCCGGGAUGGAUGCUUUGAACUUACUACAUCGACUUGGAGUGUGAAUCGAGCUGGUGAAAUUUGUGCGCGUGUCCCUUGUAAAAUUGCGAUCCGCAAGACAAUAAGUACAUAAUAUUUUGGAGCUGUGAUGACAUAAAAAGAGGAAGGCCACCCUUUCCUCUCUCAUGAUCAGAACUUUUGAUAAUGUCUGUAUGGCCCUGCAGUGCAAUUGGAACGAGCUCAGCUUUGUAGUUCUUUUCGAAGCCUGCAAUAUUGAGCUGCAUAGCUUACUGUCAUAAUGUAUGGUCGAACGUAGCGCUCGCUUUAGAGUUUCUUUAUCCGUUGCUUGGGUUUGAAUGAUUCCCUCAAAUGUUCCUUUUCAGUACGUGAAGUUUGGCCGAUCAAUCAGCUCUUUUCACCCA